rnacentral:lncRNA from 10 species
GGAAAGUUCAUGAAGGAAAGCGGAUGCCUUUAUUGAACCUGGUAGAUAAUCUUGAAGAAAAAAGAGACAAACAUUCAAGUAUAUAACACGUGUCCUAUUUAUUACAUUGCUUUGGAGUACUAUCUAUAAAGGAGGUUUGAUGUUUUCAUUACUGUUUUUGUAAAUAUUUCAGCAUUAUCUUUAAAAAGUAAGGACAUUGGCCAGUGCUGGGAUUACAGGCGUGAGCCACCACACCCAGCCAGCAAUCCUUUUUAAACUCUUCCAGAAACGGAAGAGGAGGGAACAUUUCCAAGCUCAUUCUAUGAAGCCAGUAUCACCUCGAUAGCAAAGACAGACACCACCAGAAAAGAAAACUUAGGCCAAUAUCCCCUAUGAACGUAGAUGCAAAAAUCAUCCCAAAACUAUCAAACAGAAUUCAACAGUGCAUUAAAACGAUCAAACACACCUCACCCUAACACAUGCACAGCCUCUCCCACUAUCAACAUCCCCCUCCAGAGUAGCACAUUUGAUACAAUCAGUGAACCUUCCUGGACACAUUAUCACCCACAGUCCAGACUUUACAUGCAGGUUCCCUCUUGGUACUGUGUAUUCUAUGGGUUUGGACAAAUGUAUUAUAUAAUGAUAUGUAUCCAUCAUUAUAGCAUCAUACACAGUAUUUUCAUUGCCCUGCAAAUGCUGUGUGCUUUCUCUCUCUUUAUCCCUCUCUCCCUCUAAGUCCCUGGUAACCACUGAUUCUUUUAGUUUCCCUACAGUUAUGCCUUCUCCAGAAUAUCAUAGAGUUGGAAUCAUACAGGGUAUAGCCUUUCCAGGCUGAGUUCUUUCACUUAGUAAUAUGCAUUUAAGGUUCUUCCAUGUCUUGUCAUGACCUGAUAGCUCAUUUCCUUUUAGCACUGAAAAAUAUUCCAUUUUCUGGAGGUACCACAGUUUAAUGAUUAAUAUUGUUUGGAUCUGUGUCCCUGCCCAAAUCUCAUGUUCAAUUGUAAUCCCCAGUGUUGGAGGUGGGGCCUGGUAGGAGGUGAUUGGAUCAUGGGGGCAGUUUCUCAUGAAUGGUGUAGCACCAUCCCUUUGGUACUGUUCUCCUGAUAGGAGUGACUUCUCAUGAGAUCUGGUUGUUUAAAAGUGUGUGGCACCUCCCCACUCCCAUUCUCUUGCUGCUGCUCCAGCCAUGUAAGAUGUGCCUUCACCUUCUGCUAUGACUGUAAGUUCCCUGAGGCCUCUCCAGAACCUGAGCAGCUGCCAGCAUCAUGCUUCCUGUACAUCAUCAUAUGCC